GACCUCGGCCCCGGUGGAAGUUAUCGGGUGGCAGCAGAGUUGGAAUGGGAUAGGUAGUUCCCCGUUUCCAGGACCCCAGACGGCCUGCUGGGACAGUGUAUAUGAGUCCGGAAUGGGCUGGACCAGGGUCAGGCUAGCCCAGACUUCAGGAGGAAGCACUCAAUUGAACAAGUGCAGGAACCAGCUGGCUGCCUCAGCACUGACAGAAGCAAAUUCCAUUUGCUUGGACCCACUGCAUUCCAUCCCUUGUGGAAGAGAGCAUGUAAGCAAGUGAGUGCAGGAACUGGCUGGCUGCUUUGGUGCUGGCAGGAGCAAACACCAUGAAGGCCCCAUGGCAGAGUCCAGGACAGGACCUUCAGGCCUCUGAAAAAAAAAGGAUCAAAGAACUGAAACUCACCAGAUCACCUCACCAGAUGCUGGACCCCUCAUUCACCAUGUUUGCUUCCUUGCCACUCCCUAGUUCUUAUUUUCUUACACAUUGUUACAUUUCUUCCCUGCUAUAUCAACCCCUAGUUCUAGUCAGUCAUGGAGAUGGAUUUGAGACUGAUCUCCCAUCCCCUCAGCUGCACCACCUGAUUAAAGCCUUCUUCCUUGGCAAUAAUCAUUGUCUCAGUCAUUGGCUUUCUGUGCAGGGAGCAGCAGGACCUAGACUAAACCCCUGGUGUUUUGGUAACAAAAUAAGGCCAGGCACAGAAAGACAAACAUCACAUGUUCACACUUAUUUGUGGGAUCUAAAUACCAGAACAAUUGAACUCAUAGAGAUGGAGAGUAGAAGGAUUAUUACCAGAGGCUGGGAAGUGUGGUUGAAGGAGUUGGUGGGCAGUGGGGAUGUAGAAUGUGUCCAAAAAAAGGAAUAGAAUGAAGAAGUCCUAGUAUUUGAUAGCACAACAGGGUGACUAUAGUCAAUAAUCAUUUAACUGUACAUUUUAAAAUAACUUAAAAGGUGUAAUUGGGUUGUUUGUAACACAAAUGAUAAAUGCUUGAAGGAAUUGCUACUCCAUUUUCCAUGAUGUGAUUAUUGUGCAUUGCAUGCCUGUAUCAAAAUGCCUCAUGUACCUCAUAAAUAUAUAUACCUACUAUGUACCCACAAAAAUUUUUUAAGAAAAUAUACCACUGCUUUUCCAUUUGUCAAGUGAAAAA
rnacentral:sRNA from 1 species